GAUGAACGCUGGCGGCGUGCCUAAUACAUGCAAGUCGAGCGAACAGACGAGGAGCUUGCUUCUCUGACGUUAGCGGCGGACGGGUGAGUAACACGUGGAUAACCUACCUAUAAGACUGGGAUAACUUCGGGAAACCGGAGCUAAUACCGGAAAAUAUAUUGAACCGCAUGGUUCAAUAGUGAAAGACGGUUUUGCUGUCACUUAUAGAUGGAUCCGCGCCGCAUUAGCUAGUUGGUAAGGUAACGGCUUACCAAGGCAACGAUGCGUAGCCGACCUGAGAGGGUGAUCGGCCACACUGGAACUGAGACACGGUCCAGACUCCUACGGGAGGCAGCAGUAGGGAAUCUUCCGCAAUGGGCGAAAGCCUGACGGAGCAACGCCGCGUGAGUGAUGAAGGUCUUCGGAUCGUAAAACUCUGUUAUUAGGGAAGAACAAAUGUGUAAGUAACUAUGCACGUCUUGACGGUACCUAAUCAGAAAGCCACGGCUAACUACGUG
rnacentral:rRNA from 1 species